CUACGGGUGGCAGCAGUAGGGAAUAUUGGUCAAUGGACGAAAGUCUGAACCAGCCAUGCCGCGUGAAGGAUGACGGCCCUAUGGGUUGUAAACUUCUUUUAUAUGGGAAGAAACCCCUCUACGUGUAGAGGGCUGACGAUACCAUACGAAUAAGCAUCGGCUAACUCCGUGCCAGCAGCCGCAGUAAUACGGAGGAUGCAAGCGUUAUCCGGAUUUAUUGGGUUUAAAGGGUGCGCAGGCGGAAAGAUAAGUCAGUGGUGAAAUCCUACGGCCUAACUGUAGAACUGCCAUUGAUACUGUCUUUCUUGAGUACAGUUGAAGUGGGCGGAAUGUGUCAUGUAGCGGUGAAAUGCAUAGAUAUGACACAGAACACCGAUAGCGAAGGCAGCUCACUAAACUGAAACUGACGCUCAUGCACGAAAGCGUGGGGAGCAAACAGGAUUAGAUACCCGGGUAGUC
rnacentral:rRNA from 1 species